UGGGGUGUAGCUCAGAGGCAGAGCGUGUACUUAGCAUGUCCAAGAUACUGGGUUCAAUCCCCAGUACCUCCA
rnacentral:tRNA from 1 species